rnacentral:rRNA from 1 species
AGUGAACGCCGGCGGUAGGCCUAACACAUGCAAGUCGAACGGCAGCACAGUAAGAGCUUGCUCUUACGGGUGGCGAGUGGCGGACGGGUGAGGAAUACAUCGGAAUCUACUUUUUCGUGGGGGAUAACGUAGGGAAACUUACGCUAAUACCGCAUACGACCUACGGGUGAAAGCAGGGGAUCUUCGGACCUUGCGCGAUUGAAUGAGCCGAUGUCGGAUUAGCUAGUUGGCGGGGUAAAGGCCCACCAAGGCGACGAUCCGUAGCUGGUCUGAGAGGAUGAUCAGCCACACUGGAACUGAGACACGGUCCAGACUCCUACGGGAGGCAGCAGUGGGGAAUAUUGGACAAUGGGCGCAAGCCUGAUCCAGCCAUACCGCGUGGGUGAAGAAGGCCUUCGGGUUGUAAAGCCCUUUUGUUGGGAAAGAAAAGCAGCAGGUUAAUACCCCGCUGUUCUGACGGUACCCAAAGAAUAAGCACCGGCUAACCUCGUG